AUUGAACGCUGGCGGCAUGCCUUACACAUGCAAGUCGAACGGUAACGGGCCUUCGGGUGCCGACGAGUGGCGAACGGGUGAGUAAUACAUCGGAACGUGCCCGAUCGUGGGGGAUAACGAGGCGAAAGCUUUGCUAAUACCGCAUACGAUCUACGGAUGAAAGCAGGGGACCGCAAGGCCUUGCGCGGACGGACCGGCCGAUGGCAGAUUAGGUAGUUGGUGGGAUAAAAGCUUACCAAGCCGACGAUCUGUAGCUGGUCUGAGAGGAUGAUCAGCCACACUGGGACUGAGACACGGCCCAGACUCCUACGGGAGGCAGCAGUGGGGAAUUUUGGACAAAGGGCGCAAGCCUGAUCCAGCCAUGCCGCGUGCAGGAUGAAGGCCUUCGGGUUGUAAACUGCUUUUGUACGGAACGAAAAGCCUUCUUUUAAUACAGGAGGGUCAUGACGGUACCGUAAGAAUAAGCACCGGCUAACUACGUG
rnacentral:rRNA from 1 species